rnacentral:rRNA from 1 species
GAUGAACGCUGGCGGCGUGCUUAACACAUGCCAGUCGAACGGUGAAGGCGGAGCUUGCUCUGCUGGAUCAGUGGCGAACGGGUGAGUAACACGUGAGCAAUCUGCCCCUGACUCUGGGAUAAGCGCUGGAAACGGCGUCUAAUACUGGAUACGAGCUGCGAAGGCAUCUUCAGCAGCUGGAAAGAAUUUCGGUCAGGGAUGAGCUCGCGGCCUAUCAGCUUGUUGGUGAGGUAAUGGCUCACCAAGGCGUCGACGGGUAGCCGGCCUGAGAGGGUGACCGGCCACACUGGGACUGAGACACGGCCCAGACUCCUACGGGAGGCAGCAGUGGGGAAUAUUGCACAAUGGGCGAAAGCCUGAUGCAGCAACGCCGCGUGAGGGACGACGGCCCUCGGGUUGUAAACCUCUUUUAGCAGGGAAGAAGCGAAAGUGACGGUACCUGCAGAAAAAGCGCCGGCUAACUACGCG